CAGUAGCCGCGGUAAUACGUAGGGUGCAAGCGUUAAUCGGAAUUACUGGGCGUAAAGCGUGCGCAGGCGGUUUGUUAAGACAGAUGUGAAAUCCCCGGGCUCAACCUGGGAACUGCAUUUGUGACUGGCAAGCUAGAGUCUGGCAGAGGGGGGUGGAAUUCUGCGUGUAGCAGUGAAAUGCGUAGAUAUGCGGAGGAACACCGAUGGCGAAGGCAGCCCCCUGGGCCAACACUGACGCUCAUGCACGAAAGCGUGGGGAGCAAACAGGAUUAGAUACCCGCGUAGUCCCUGUCUCUUAUAC
rnacentral:rRNA from 1 species